rnacentral:rRNA from 1 species
ACGAACGCUGGCGGCGUGCUUCACACAUGCAAGUCGCACGGAAAGGCCCUGCUUUUGUGGGGUGCUCGAGUGGCGAACGGGUGAGUAACACGUGAGUAACCUGCCCUUGACUUUGGGAUAACUUCAGGAAACUGGGGCUAAUACCGGAUAGGAGCUCCUGCUGCAUGGUGGGGGUUGGAAAGUUUCGGCGGUUGGGGAUGGACUCGCGGCUUAUCAGCUUGUUGGUGGGGUAGUGGCUUACCAAGGCUUUGACGGGUAGCCGGCCUGAGAGGGUGACCGGCCACAUUGGGACUGAGAUACGGCCCAGACUCCUACGGGAGGCAGCAGUGGGGAAUAUUGCACAAUGGGCGGAAGCCUGAUGCAGCAACGCCGCGUGCGGGAUGACGGCCUUCGGGUUGCAAACCGCUUUCGCCUGUGACGAAGCGUGAGUGACGGUAAUGGGUAAAGAAGCACCGGCUAACUACGUG